AAGAGCCGGAUGCCUUAAUAGGGCACGUCCGGUUCUGUGAGGGGGGCGUGCCGCGAGGCGCGCUUCUACUCGAC
rfam:Sporomusa sphaeroides DSM 2875 SPSPH_contig000001, whole genome shotgun sequence.